rnacentral:lncRNA from 1 species
AAGAGAACUCUAAAAAGGAAAAAAAUUAAAAAGGGAUAGUUAAAGAGAACUAAAUUUUGUAGCAACUGCUUGAUGGGGAACCUCUGUGGGAGAUCUGCUGAGUGCUCAGUUGCUGCUUCUUCCUCUUUUCAUGCAGGUACACAGAUUUUUUGCAUUUAACAUUAAGCCCUUUAAUUUCUUUUUCCUGUGUUUUCCAAACACUAAUGUUGUCUUAGAUAGUUGUUGAAUCAAACCAUGUUGUAUGAUUUUUUUUUUUUUUUUUUGUGGUCAUGUUUUGCAUGUAUCUGAUUGAGUUUAUUGCCAGUUUAUGUACUUUUCUAGAUAUGACUCUAAAAAAUAUAAAACUAAAUAAAUAAAUAAAUAAUUAAUUAAUUAGCUGCUAACUUCUUAGGAAUCGGAGCGUGCGCCGCACAAAUAUAUUCGGAGAUUUAGAUUGAUCAAGUUUAGUGUUCAAUCUAACUUAAAAUCAUUCUCCUUAAUCACUUUGAUAACAUUAUUAGCCUACUUGAUGCUUCCAAGUUUGUUGUGUCCAAGUUUAUAUCUAAUUCUCUCGCAUUUCGUAGUUCAAGUUGUAUAUAAAUUUUAAGAUAAAUCUUUAAGUUUCUUCGAGUCGAAACCGAUAACAACAGUUCAGCAAAUCUCCCUUUACCAUUCCCAGAUGAAACAUCACCUG